UAUCUUUCAAGUUGGAUCAAACUGCACACGGUGUGCAUAAAAUCCGUUAAGUUGUUUAGGAGUCCAUCUCGGACAAAUGACGUGAUGCGUAAUUUAGACAUAUUAAAAUUAUUAUGAUAACUUACUAGAAUAUAUGUUUGCAAUAAAAUGUGCCAAAUA